rnacentral:rRNA from 1 species
AGGGAGUUUGAUCCUGGCUCAGGACGAACGCUGGCGGCGUGCCUAACACAUGCAAGUCGAACGGAACUACUAGGAAGGAUCUCUUCGGAGAAACGGAAUUUUAGUUUAGUGGCGGACGGGUGAGUAACGCGUGAGUAACCUGCCUUUGAGAGGGGAAUAACGUUCUGAAAAGAACGCUAAUACCGCAUAACAUAUACUGAUCGCAUGGUCGGUAUAUCAAAGAUUUUAUCGCUCAAAGAUGGACUCGCGUCCGAUUAGCUUGUUGGCGGGGUAACGGCCCACCAAGGCGACGAUCGGUAGCCGGACUGAGAGGUUGAAUGGCCACAUUGGGACUGAGACACGGCCCAGACUCCUACGGGAGGCAGCAGUGGGGGAUAUUGCGCAAUGGGGGCAACCCUGACGCAGCAACGCCGCGUGAAGGAUGAAGGUUUUCGGAUUGUAAACUUCUUUUGUCAGGGACGAAAUCUGACGGUACCUGACGAAUAAGCUCCGGCUAACUACGUGCCAGCAGCCGCGGUAAUACGUAGGGAGCAAGCGUUGUCCGGAUUUACUGGGUGUAAAGGGUGCGUAGGCGGCUAAGCAAGUCAGAUGUGAAAUCUAUGGGCUCAACCCAUAAACUGCAUUUGAAACUGCAUAGCUUGAGUGAAGUAGAGGCAGGCGGAAUUCCCCGUGUAGCGGUGAAAUGCGUAGAGAUGGGGAGGAACACCAGUGGCGAAGGCGGCCUGCUGGGCUUUAACUGACGCUGAGGCACGAAAGCGUGGGUAGCAAACAGGAUUAGAUACCCUGGUAGUCCCCU